GACGAACGCUGGCGGCGUGCUUAACACAUGCAAGUCGAACGGAAAGACCCUGCUUUUGUGGGGUGCUCGAGUGGCGAACGGGUGAGUAACACGUGAGUAACCUGCCCUUGACUUUGGGAUAACUUCAGGAAACUGGGGCUAAUACCGGAUAGGAGCUCCUGCUGCAUGGUGGGGGUUGGAAAGUUUCGGCGGUGGGGGAUGGACUCGCGGCUUAUCGGCUUGUUGGUGGGGUAGUGGCUUACCAAGGCUUUGACGGGUAGCCGGCCUGAGAGGGUGACCGGCCACAUUGGGACUGAGAUACGGCCCAGACUCCUACGGGAGGCAGCAGUGGGGAAUAUUGCACAAUGGGCGGAAGCCUGAUGCAGCAACGCCGCGUGCGGGAUGACGGCCUUCGGGUUGUAAACCGCUUUCGCCUGUGACGAAGCGUGAGUGACGGUAAUGGGUAAAGAAGCACCGGCUAACUACGUG
rnacentral:rRNA from 1 species